rnacentral:rRNA from 1 species
CCUACGGGCGGCACCAGUGGGGAAUAUUGCACAAUGGGCGCAAGCCUGAUGCAGCCAUGCCGCGUGUGUGAAGAAGGCCUUCGGGUUGUAAAGCACUUUCAGCGGGGAGGAAGGCGAUAAGGUUAAUAACCUUGUCGAUUGACGCUACCCGCAGAAGAAGCACCGGCUAACUCCGUGCCAGCAGCCGCGGUAAUACGGAGGGUGCAAGCGUUAAUCGGAAUUACUGGGCGUAAAGCGCACACAGGCGGUCUGUCAAGUCGGAUGUGAAAUCCCCGGGCUCAACCUGGGAACUGCAUUCGAAACUGCCAGGCUAGAGUCUUGUAGAGGGGGGUAGAAUUCCAGGUGUAGCGGUGAAAUGCGUAGAGAUCUGGAGGAAUACCGGUGGCGAAGGCGGCCCCCUGGACAAAGUCUGACGCUCAGGUGCGAAAGCGUGGGGAGUAAACAGGAUUAGAUACCCCUGUAGUC